AGAGAGCCGGCGCCGCGGCGGAAAGGCGGCGCUGACGCACGCAAGCAGAGCCAGUGGGAGUGCACGCAGAGACGCGGAAACACACAUGUGCAGACAUGCAGAGCAACACGGAUGCUGACGUGGCGAGUCCCCUGGAGACGCCUGUGGGGCCGGAGCCGGGAACCGCAGAUGUGUGGAGAUGCAUGAGGGGACCUGGUCCCUGCAGCCCAGCUGCUACCCCCAUGGCUUGCCGCCAGCGUGCUCACCAAGGUCAACCAUGACUCCAUGGAGCUAAGUCCAGAGGCCACGUCUCAGCGGUCAUCUUGCUCGACCUCUCCACAGCACCCCUCCCUGAUCCUUCAGGUUCUUUUUCUCUUGACUUCCAGGGACUCAUCCCUAUAGAAGACCUAGCGUCUGGGGCUCCAUCCGGGCCCGCUUCCUGUCUUCUGGCUCCCUAAGACUUGCCAUUUCUCUCCCCUGUCUCUCCAGCUGUUCCUUGGAGUGCCAGGCAAAAUCUGAACAAGGCCUCCUUGGCACCCCUCCCCAGGAUGCCUACACAUACCUGCUACAACAGAUUUCUAAGUGGACUCAUCAACUUGCCCAUCAAACGGGUCCUCCUCUCAGACCUGAACCUUAGCAAACGGCACUGCCAUCUACCUGGCCCGGAGCCAGCAACCCUGAGUCACCCGCCUCCCCAGUCCCACAGGUGGCCAGGCAAGCUUUCUAAACUGCAUGAACCCAGUCUCCCUUCCUCCUCUACCCAACUGCCUGGGUUUGGGCCACUGCCACCUCUUGCCUGGGCCGCUGCCCUGACCUCUCACUGGUCUUCCGGUACCCGCCUCUGCACCCUCAGGGACCUUCCUGAAGCACGCCUUUUAUCAGGCAUUCCCCUGAUUAAAAUCCUCUCUCCCCUGGCAACCAGAGGCAGGGGACACCUCAUCAGGGGUGGAGGAUGUGCACACACAGGGGCA